UUUAAGCUCUAAAUUAAAGAAGACAUUUCUAGUCAGAGACAAGCAAAAAUGGUGAAUGCAGAGUAUCAGAAGCCCAAGGUACAGAAAUUAUGAGAAGUGUCGAAUGAUUUUAAGGAAACAGUCUUAUUUGAAACUGCAAGACUCUUUAGUGGAGGUCAAGCAAGUCAAUAUAGGUAGAAUACUCUGAGAAAUUAUGCGAGUAAUGGGAUAGCACACAAUGGGUCAGGAAAUGCGUUGUUUUUCUGAAAAACUAAAACUGAUGACUGUCAUAUCAUGAGUCACUUUAGCAUCAUGAGACUGCUGUUUGAUAAAUUCAGAAACAAACCAAAAAGCAAGCCAUGCAAAAAUAAAAAAAAACCUAUUUAAUGAUGCUCUCUCCACACUGGGAUAAAUAAUAAGAAACGGAUCAUGUCUUCUAAUGUGGACAUAUCAGACACCUUGUGAAACACGAAAGGAAAAAUUCAGUUUCGAGCUAUGGCACUUGCCGCAUAGAUGUGGGGGGCCUUGCACUAAUAGUGAUAGUUACCACUGCAUUUAGAAAUUGAAAGCAUUCAUGCAGACAAGGAUGAUUCUUUAUAUUUUUGGCUACCAUUUCAAAUGCCUCCACCAAGUGUUACAAUGCUGCACGCAGCCAUACUAAGGAUCUCGCAGCAACACCUGCAGGUAAAAAGCAGCAGUCAAAGUGCUGGUGUAUUCUGGACACUAGCUUUGAAAACUUUUGGGCAAGAACAGUGCAAGAAGCAGACAUAACAACUGCAUUUAUUUCCAUAAUGCCCCAUUUGAAUGGCCUUUUCUUUUUGCUUAGACAAUGCCUACGCCUAGCCACAGCAGCUCCCUCAUACAGACUCCGCAAGCCAAGAGGCCGUGGAGGCAAAUGCAGGCAGCCAGCACACCUCGAACAGCCACCUUGACUGCGGGUGUGUCACCCUAGUCGCCAAGGAAACAUUUGAGGGAAAGCGACAGGCAAUGUGAACAGCCACUUCUCCAUGCAAACGAUACUCUUUCUCUCGGAUGACUCCUACGCCUCGCCACGCCAGCACUCUUGUGCACAAAGAUGCCGCGGAGGCACGUGCAAGUCAGAGGCAAGAAGCAGUGGCACUGGUGUCGACAUUCACCCAAUUUCUUUUUCUUACACUGAGGCAGCCAGCACACCUCGAACAGCCACCUUGACUGCGGGUGUGUCAGUAGAUUCCUGUUGUACAUAUGCUCAUAAUAAACUUCAGUAAACUUGAA